GCAUCUACACAGGUGGUUCCAACAAGCAUCAGGAAAAAUGAACAUUUAUCACGCAACCCACAGGAAGCACAAUGCACUAAACUUCCACAUAACCACCCAGUAAAUGAGAGGACUUCCUAUUCCUAAUCACAGCCUCAUUUUCAACCAUCAUCCUCAUUCUCAAGUAUGAGGAAAUGGAAUUUCCUUGAUCCAGACAGACUCCUAAGGCAAGAUUUCUAGUUCCACCUGUUAAUAACCAGAUGUGUGGUGCUGGUUAUGUCACUUCUCAUCUCUAAGCCUGCAAAGUCGGGGGUAAGACUUGGUUCAUCUCUAAAAUAGGUCUUUAAAUUCUAAUGGAUUUUAUAAGGCACCCUUCAACUUCCAAUUGAGCCUUCCAAUCAUUUAUAUUGCUGUGGCAGUGAGCUUAACCAGUGAACCUCUAAAUAGGCCAUACAGAAUGGGCUCUCUUCCAGUUUGAUACCAGCGAUUUCUUCAACACAGGGAGAAAGUAGCAGAAAAUUGGUAUUAGUGGGAUUUGUAAUUAUCAGGGCAGUUCCUAUUGAAGGUUUUGUUACUGUGUCAUGGCUGAUUAGACCUGUCUACUCUGGUUUUUGGAUAGUCCCCAAGGGCAACUGGGAGGCAAGGGCACAGAAGGGGUAGGAAACAAGAAAAAACAUCAGUGCUUUGGACAGCAGAGCCCCUCAGGAUAAGAAUGAGCUUGAUCAUAGAAAGUAAGAGUUAAAGCCAGCAUAGAAUGCUUAAAGUUACAUUUUACUUCGAGUAAGAGCAGAUAAUCUAGGAUUCAUCUGAAAACAGAAGAGCCUCAAGGUUUUCUGAAGUGGAUUCCGUCAUGGCUCCUCGUGGCUUCUUGGAAUUAAAAAACAUGGCCACUACCAAGGAAAUGAGGAAUAAUUUUAAAGAUGCUUACUUGGAGAAAGAAAGUAUACAUUGAUCUAGAGUGACAGUUCUCCAGCUUAAAAAAAAAAAAAAGUGUUCCUUUUAUGUUGACUCAAAAUUUUAUUUUUGAGACAGGGUCUCACUCCUGCACAGGCUGGAGUACAGUGGUACAAACAUAGCUCACUACAGUCUUGACCUCCUGGGCUCAAGCUAUCCUCCUGCCACAGCCUCCUGAAUAGCUGGGACUACAGGUGCGCAUCACCACACCUGGCUUGUUUUUAAAUUUUUUGUAGAGACAAGGUUCUCACCAUAUUACCCAGGCUGGUCACAAAUUCCUGGAAUCAUGCAAUCCUCCUGCUUCAGCCUCCCAAAAUGUUGGGAUCACAAGUGUAAGCCACUGUGCCAGGCCUCAAAAUACUAAAAUAAAUGACCAAAAAAAAAAAAAAAAAAACAUCAGCUGGUUGCAGUGGCUCACACCUAUAAUCCGAGCACAUUAGGAGGUAGAGGCGGGAGGAUCGCUUGAGCCCAGGAGUUACAGACCAGCCUGAGCAACAAAGACCCCAUCUCUACAAUAAAUACAAAAAUUAGUGGGCUGGGCACGGUGGCUCAUGCCUGUAAUCCCAGCACUUUGGUAGGCCAGCAGGCAGACCACGAGGUCAGGAGUUUGAGACCAGCCUGGCCAGCAUGGUGAAACCCCGUCUCUACUAAAAAUACAAAAAAAAAUUAGCCCGGCAUGGUGGUGCACACCUGUAUUCCCAGCUACUCGGGAGGCUGAGGCAGAAGAAUCACUUGAACCCAGGAGGCGGAGGUUGCAGUGAGCCGAGAUCAUGCCACUGUACUCCAGUCUAGGUGACAGAGCGAGACUCCGUCUCAAAAAAAAAAAAAAAAAGCCAGGCAUGGUGGUGUGUGCCUGUAGUCCCAGCUACUUGAGAGGCUGAUGUGGGAGGAUCACGUGAGCUAGGGAGGCAGAGGUUGCAGUGAGCCAAGAUCAUGCCACUGCACUGCAGCCUGGAUGACAGACUGAGACACUGUCUCCAAAAUUAAAAAAAAAAAAAAAGUUAGUUUAGAAUAUGCUUCUUCCAGUUUCACAUGGCCCACUGGAAAAAAGCUAACAAUUAUCUGUAAGAGGAGUGAGACAAGAUGCUGACUUUGGGGCAGAGUGAAGCAAAUAAGCAGUCUUUUGCAUGACGAGAGACUUGAAGAUACAGAGGAUGGCAGUGCAUUUAGGGUUUAAUUUAGGCUGCAGCUUGGGGAAGAAAAUCAGUGGUCAUCACUGCCUUUUGUCCACACUGUAUCACUAAGCAAAGCUCCUGAGAACAAACUGCUGGGAUAGUCAUGACCCUCUCUUGGAGUGGAUGAAUUCUAGGGACAGGUGCCAUAAGGAAAGGCUGCAACCCCCACAACAGAAAAUACAUAUUUAUUAUAAAAUAAAGUUAGUUUCAUGAAGAGAGUAGAAAAAUAACACUAUGAGCUACUAAAAAAGUUGUGGAACUCAGUCUCCGAGGAUUGGGGUGAGAGGCUUUCACAUCACUCUGGAAACCCACCAACAUGAGGUCAGCAGGGGACUGGUUC
rnacentral:lncRNA from 1 species